rnacentral:lncRNA from 1 species
UCACACUGGGGUGGCUGCCAGUGCUGCUAUCCUUUCCUUAGGGGUAGUGAUCUAAGAAAGAGUCAGCAAAGGAGAUGCACAUUACAUACCCUGAUUAUGCCUGUUUUGAAAGUAUGCCAAGUAAGUUUUUGUUGUUUUGGAAAGCAAAAGCUUUGUGUGUUAACUUAUUUUCAGUAUCUUAAACUUAUUUAUGAUUUGCUGACACAGUGAUUUAUCCAUCUAAACUAGAUACUUUUCCAUUUAAAACUAACUUAUAAAUGGUAUACUCUUGGGAAGAUAUAAACUCUUUUAGAAGUUUCCUGAAAUAUUUUCACCAUGAAGACAGACUUAGAUACUCUUUUGAUGCCACUAUCUGAUCUAAAUAUUUAUGAUAAAAUGUAUUAUUUUUUUAAAGAGCGUGAUGAGAUCUGUGAUAAAUGCUAGUACUCAAAACCCGAAUCCCCAAACCACAAGUUGUUGGUUAGCUCACUAAUUGAACAGACUGUACAGUUUGUUCUAGAAGUAAGUUUUUCAGCCUUACAGUCGUUAAUGUUCCUUUCUGAAAGGAAGACUAAACUUAAUGGGCUUAAACCAGGUGUGGUGGUUCAUGCCUUUAAUUUCAGUACUUGGGAGGCAGAGGCAGGAGGAUCUCUGUGAAGGCCAGCCUGGUCUGUAGAGUGAGAUCAAUGCCAUUAGUUACAUGAGUGAGACUCUGCAGU